AUACGGAGGGUGCAAGCGUUACUCGGAAUCACUGGGCGUAAAGGACGCGUAGGCGGCUUCAUAAGCCAGGUGUGAAAGCCCACGGCUCAACCGUGGAACUGCACUUGAAACUGUGAUGCUAGAGUCUGGGAGAGGCAGAUGGAAUUGGUGGUGUAGGGGUAAAAUCCGUAGAGAUCACCAGGAAUACCGAUGGCGAAGGCGAUCUGCUGGAACAGUACUGACGCUGAGGCGUGAAAGCGUGGGGAGCAAACAGGAUUAGAUACCCUAGUAGUCC
rnacentral:rRNA from 1 species